rnacentral:rRNA from 1 species
UACAUGGGGUGCAAACGUUGCUCGGAAUCAUUGGGCGUAAAGCGCGCGUAGGCGGUUACUUAAGUUGGAUGUGAAAGCCCUCGGCUUAACUGAGGAAGUGCAUCCAAAACUGAGUAGCUAGAGUACGAAAGAGGGUCGCGGAAUUCCCGGUGUAGAGGUGAAAUUCGUAGAUAUCGGGAGGAACACCGGUGGCGAAGGCGGCGACCUGGGUCGAGACUGACGCUGAGGCGCGAAAGCGUGGGGAGCAAACAGGG